UGCGCUCUCGGUAGCCGACGAACUAGUAAAUUUCGCCACAAUUUCAUCAUCGAAAUACUGUUUUUCUAUUUGAUCCACUGUUUUCAACAUGUUUUCAGUAUUUCCGCUUGUUAAAGAAGCAUCAAUGGACACAACAAUUGCUGGAAUCGAACUAAGCACCUUACUUUUUUCCGGUUCUUUGUCAAAGUAAUCAACCACGGAGUCUAGACGGUUAGAUAUUUGACGAUAAUUGACAACCUCAUGUCUCAUGCGCACCAUAUUCUUAACGUGAAUUCGAAUUUGCUUCUCAUUUCCUUUUUCCAUUGCAUUCUUGACCUUAAGCUUUUCGGGUUCUAUUUCUUUCUCACGUUCAUCUGCCAUUGAUCUUAAACUAGCCGAUACGGAUUUUAGAUCAUCUGUCUUGCUUUCCACUUUCUCAAAACUAAAACUUCCUUCCAUUUCAAACUAAUUGAUGAUUCUUGGAUGAUUUUCAAGUGUUUCUUUCCAAUACUGAUUAUGCAGGGCCGGCCCUGUAGUAUAAGCAGAACAAGCACCGCUUGAGGCCACAAGCUAGAAGAGGCCACAACAAAAAUACUCUUGAUAUAUUUACUCUUAAUAGAAAAUAUUAGAGUAAAUAAAAAUUAAAUCAAAGGGAAUGUGAAAAAACACAGAAGAAACAGUUUCUUCUAGGGUUCAUAAGUCUCAAUUAGAGUUACUAACUGUAUAAUCAGAGUAAUUUGCAAGAAAAAGGACCACAAUCCACAACCUUCACUCACAGAAACCCUAAUUUUGUUUGUUCAAAUCAUCCUCUUUUUGGACCACGUCCCACAGUAGCAGGCUAGAAGCAGCAACCUUUAAAUCCAAAAUGAAGUCUCGUCGUCUGGAUGAGAAGGUGGCAACUCAUGUUCUUUAGAAGCAUUGGAUUAUUUAUCUUGAAUGUGAGUAUUUACGGACACUUUUGAAACUCCAUUUAGUGUCCACUUUCAGACUUCAGAGUAAUGCAAAUCUCCUCGUAAAUUACCAUCUUUGGGAUUUAUAUUCAAGUACUAGCUAGGUUCUGGCGUUAUUUCGGACCCGACCCAACUAAAGUUACUGUGUGCAUUAAACAAAAGUUUUCAACUGUAAUGGAAGUAAUACAUGUUGGCGC